rnacentral:rRNA from 1 species
UACGAAGGGGGCUAGCGUUGUUCGGAUUCACUGGGCGUAAAGGGUGCGUAGGUGGUUAGGUAAGUCCGAUGUGAAAUCUCCAGGCUCAACCUGGAAAUGGCAUUGGAUACUAUCUAGCUUGAGGAGUGGAGGGGGGACUGGAAUUCUCGGUGUAGCAGUGAAAUGCGUAGAUAUCGAGAGGAACACCAGUGGCGAAGGCGAGUCCCUGGACACUUCCUGACACUGAGGCACGAAAGCUAGGGGAGCAAACAGG